rnacentral:rRNA from 1 species
AAAGCAUAUAAGCGGGAAGCCCACCCCGAGAUAAGGCAUCCCCGGGCCGCAAGGCCCCUGAAGGCCCCUCGAAGACGACGAGGUUGAUAGGCCGGGUGUGGAAGCGCCGUAAGGCGUGGAGCUAACCGGUACUAAAUGGCCGUGAGGCUUGACCAUAAUUCU